rnacentral:rRNA from 1 species
GACGAACGCUGGCGGCGUGCCUAACACAUGCAAGUCGAACGGAAAGGCCCUGCUUUUGCGGGGUGCUCGAGUGGCGAACGGGUGUGUAACACGUGAGUAUCCUGUCCUUGACUUUGUGAUAACUUCAGGAAACUGGGGCUAAUACCGGAUAGGAGCUCUUGCUGCAUGGUGGGGGUUGGAAAGUUUCGGCGGUUGGGGCUGGAAUGGCGGCUUACCGGCUUGUUGGUGAGGUAGUGGCUGACCAAGGUUUUGACGGGUAGCCGGCCUGGGAGGGGGACCGGCGACAUUGGGACUAAGAGACGGCCCAGACUCCUACGGGAGGCAACAGGGGGAAAUAUUGCACAAUAGGCGGAAGCCUGAUGCAGCAACGCCGCGUGCGGGAUAACGGCCUUCGGGUGGAAAACCGCUUUCGCCUGUAACGAGGCGUGAGUGACGGUAAUGGGUAAAGAGGCACCGGCUAACUACGUG